AGAGUUUGAUCAUGGCUCAGAUUGAACGCUGGCGGCAUGCCUUACACAUGCAAGUCGAACGGCAGCGGGGACUUCGGUCCGCCGGCGAGUGGCGAACGGGUGAGUAAUGUAUCGGAACGUACCUUUCAGUGGGGGAUAACGUAGCGAAAGUUACGCUAAUACCGCAUAUUCUGUGAGCAGGAAAGCAGGGGAUCGCAAGACCUUGCGCUGAUUGAGCGGCCGAUAUCAGAUUAGCUAGUUGGUGAGGUAAAGGCUCACCAAGGCGACGAUCUGUAGCGGGUCUGAGAGGAUGAUCCGCCACACUGGAACUGAGACACGGUCCAGACUCCUACGGGAGGCAGCAGUGGGGAAUUUUGGACAAUGGGGGCAACCCUGAUCCAGCCAUGCCGCGUGAGUGAAGAAGGCCUUCGGGUUGUAAAGCUCUUUCGGCCGGGAAGAAAUCGCAUGGGUUAAUACCCUGUGCGGAUGACGGUACCGGCAUAAGAAGCACCGGCUAACUACGUGCCAGCAGCCGCGGUAAUACGUAGGGUGCGAGCGUUAAUCGGAAUUACUGGGCGUAAAGCGUGCGCAGGCGGUUUUGUAAGACAGGCGUGAAAUCCCCGGGCUCAACCUGGGAACUGCGCUUGUGACUGCAAGGCUAGAGUACGGCAGAGGGGGGUGGAAUUCCACGUGUAGCAGUGAAAUGCGUAGAGAUGUGGAGGAACACCAAUGGCGAAGGCAGCCCCCUGGGUCGAUACUGACGCUCAUGCACGAAAGCGUGGGUAGCAAACAGGAUUAGAUACCCUGGUAGUCCACGCCCUAAACGAUGUCAACUAGGUGUUGGGU
rnacentral:rRNA from 1 species